UACGGGGGGAGCAAGCGUUGUUCGGAUUUACUGGGCGUAAAGGGCGCGUAGGCGGCCAGCACAAGUCAGUUGUGAAAUCUCCGAGCUUAACUCGGAAAGGUCAACUGAUACUGUGCGGCUAGAGUGCGGAAGGGGCAACUGGAAUUCUUGGUGUAGCGGUGAAAUGCGUAGAUAUCAAGAGGAACACCUGCAGCGAAGGCGGGUUGCUGGGCCGACACUGACGCUGAGGCGCGAAAGCGUGGGGAGCGAACAGG
rnacentral:rRNA from 1 species